rnacentral:rRNA from 1 species
UACGGGGGGGGCAAGCGUUGUUCGGAAUUACUGGGCGUAAAGGGCUCGCAGGCGGCCAACUAAGUCGGAUGUGAAAUCCCCAGGCUUAACCUGGGAACUGCAUCCGAUACUGGAUGGCUUGAAUCCGGGAGAGGGAUGCAGAAUUCCAGGUGUAGCGGUGAAAUGCGUAGAUAUCUGGAGGAAUACCGGUGGCGAAGGCGGCAUCCUGGACCGGCAUUGACGCUGAGUGAGCGAAAGCCAGGGGAGCAAACGGG